rnacentral:tRNA from 2 species
CGCGGGGUAGAGCAGAGGCAGCUCGUCGGGCUCAUAACCCGGAGGUCGGUGGUUCGAAUCCACCCCCCGCAACCA